rnacentral:tRNA from 2 species
GGGCCCUUAGCUUAGUCUGGUUCAAAGCCCCCGGCUCAUAACCGGGUGAUCGCUGGUUCAAAUCCGGCAGGGCCCA